rnacentral:rRNA from 1 species
GAUGAACGCUGGCGGCAUGCCUUACACAUGCAAGUCGAACGGUAACAGGUCUUCGGAUGCUGACGAGUGGCGAACGGGUGAGUAAUACAUCGGAACGUGCCCGAUCGUGGGGGAUAACGCAGCGAAAGCUGUGCUAAUACCGCAUACGAUCUACGGAUGAAAGCGGGGGACUCGCAAGGGCCUCGCGCGGACGGAGCGGCCGAUGGCAGAUUAGGUAGUUGGUGGGAUAAAAGCUUACCAAGCCGACGAUCUGUAGCUGGUCUGAGAGGACGACCAGCCACACUGGGACUGAGACACGGCCCAGACUCCUACGGGAGGCAGCAGUGGGGAAUUUUGGACAAUGGGCGCAAGCCUGAUCCAGCCAUGCCGCGUGCAGGAUGAAGGCCUUCGGGUUGUAAACUGCUUUGUACGGUAACGAAAAAGACUACUCUCUAAUACAGGGGUGAAGUGACGGUACCGUAAGAAUAAGCACCGGCUAACUACGUGCCAGCAGCCGCGGUAA